UACAGAGGGGGCAAGCGUUGUUCGGAAUUACUGGGCGUAAAGGGCGCGUAGGCGGCCACCUAAGUCAGACGUGAAAUCCCUCGGCUCAACCGGGGAACUGCGUCUGAUACUGGGUGGCUUGAAUCCGGGAGAGGGAUGCGGAAUUCCAGGUGUAGCGGUGAAAUGCGUAGAUAUCUGGAGGAACACCGGUGGCGAAGGCGGCAUCCUGGACCGGUAUUGACGCUGAGGCGCGAAAGCCAGGGGAGCAAACGGG
rnacentral:rRNA from 1 species